rnacentral:misc_RNA from 1 species
GAAAGAUAUAGUGGUGAAGAACUGCUGUAAGAAUCUUCUAGGGUUGUAAGGGAAUCUAAUUUAUGCCCAUAAAACUUCUGAACCAACUGUUCUUCAUGGAUGAGUUAAUCUCCAGCAGCCAGCGGAGAAAAGCUUGCACGGGUAUGCAAGGAUUCAGUCACCUGCAGUAAGUUGAUAAAUGGCAAGAUCUUGGAUACCCUUAACUACUUAAUUAAUAUCAGAUGUACUAACCAAGUCAACCCUGGUUAGUCAUAAA